UUUCCAAAUUUACGGAUCGAUUUUCGAGGGGGAGAAGGGAAACAGAUCCGAGAGUAUAUAUGGCGACGUAUUUUCUAAGGUAACCGCCAGUCGGCUUUGUAACCUUUCGACGACACAAUGAGCCCGAUUUACAGUUCAAUACCGCUACUGCUCUUCGGCUGCUCACUUCUGUUCGCCAUUUCAUCCGCAGCGACACGUCCGGCUCCUGAUUUCACGCGCCGUGGAUUCGAUCGCAAUAAGUUUCAGGAAACGAUCAUCUACCCGCAAAACUAUGCCAGGUCAGAAAGUGGCCGUAACGAAAUGGAAAAUAAUCGACCGGAUAACUUCGACGAGGAUCGUCUGCAAGAGCUGGGGGAAUAUUUCGAAAAUGAUGGCGGAACGCGAGAAGAUUCAGGCCCGGUUUAUCCGGUUUUAGAAAAACGUCCGGCAGCGAGCGGGAAAUACAACUACUACAGGUGCUACUUCAACCCGGUCACGUGUUACCGGAAGUAGCGCGCAUUAAUCACGCGACAUAUUUUCCCAUAAAUAUACCGAUCACGUACUUUAUAAAAUGCACCGCAUGAAAGAGGGCAGAGAAAAUAAAACAAAUUGAUACAA